rnacentral:miRNA from 1 species
AGUAAGUGAUAUUUCGGAACUGAAUCUAGCUCCUUUGAUACCAAUGUAUUCUAGUAAUAUGAAUUUUUUCUGUGUUGGUGUAGAUUCAGUUCCGAAAUAUCACUUACUCG